CCUUCUGCGUAACACUUGCCGAAGCCUUAGCAGCCCGAAAGGGUGCAGUCACGACGACUCUAAUCAAGAGAGGACUGCUUAAAUGCUAGUCUGCUCAUCGCAGGCGACACUAUCAAAUUGCGGGAACACCCUAAAGACCUCAACACCAAGCGCUUGUGGGAAACCACAGCGUGGCCGAGCUAAUAGCCCUGGGUAUGGUAACAGCUUGAGGUAUGAUGCUCUCUCGGGAGCGGAAAUGGGCAAUCCGCAGCCAAGUCCUAAAGCGCUCUCACGGGUGCCAUGGAUGCUGUUCACAGGCCAAAUGGUAGUGGGUGACCCCAGACGGGGUUGCUUAAGAUAUGGUCGGGCCCCUUCAGAAAUGUUGGGGAUAAGCUUACGCUCAAAUCAACCGUUCCGUAGGUGAACCUGCGGAAGGAUCAUUAUCGAGGG
rnacentral:misc_RNA from 1 species